GGCUGUGUAGCUCAAUGGUCAAGUGCUUGCCUAGCAGGCAUGAGGCCAUGGGUUCAAUACCCAGCACUGCAA
rnacentral:tRNA from 1 species